UAGUGGCGAACGGGUGAGUAACACGUGGGCAAUCUGCCCUGCACUCUGGGACAAGCCCUGGAAACGGGGUCUAAUACCGGAUACUGAUUGUCUUGGGCAUCCUUGAUGAUCGAAAGCUCCGGCGGUGCAGGAUGAGCCCGCGGCCUAUCAGCUUGUUGGUGAGGUAACGGCUCACCAAGGCGACGACGGGUAGCCGGCCUGAGAGGGCGACCGGCCACACUGGGACUGAGACACGGCCCAGACUCCUACGGGAGGCAGCAGUGGGGAAUAUUGCACAAUGGGCGAAAGCCUGAUGCAGCGACGCCGCGUGAGGGAUGACGGCCUUCGGGUUGUAAACCUCUUUCAGCAGGGAAGAAGCGAAAGUGACGGUACCUGCAGAAGAAGCGCCGGCUAACUACGUGCCAGCAGCCGCGGUAAUACGUAGGGCGCAAGCGUUGUCCGGAAUUAUUGGGCGUAAAGAGCUCGUAGGCGGCUUGUCACGUCGGAUGUGAAAGCCCGGGGCUUAACCCCGGGUCUGCAUUCGAUACGGGCAGGCUAGAGUUCGGUAGGGGAGAUCGGAAUUCCUGGUGUAGCGGUGAAAUGCGCAGAUAUCAGGAGGAACACCGGUGGCGAAGGCGGAUCUCUGGGCCGAUACUGACGCUGAGGAGCGAAAGCGUGGGGAGCGAACAGGAUUAGAUACCCUGGUAGUCCACGCCGUAAACGGUGGGCACUAGGUGUGGGCAACAUUCCACGUUGUCCGUGCCGCAGCUAACGCAUUAAGUGCCCCGCCUGGGGAGUACGGCCGCAAGGCUAAACUCAAGGAAUUGACGGGGGCCCGCACAGCGCGGAGCAUGUGGCUUAAUUCGACGCAACGCGAAG
rnacentral:rRNA from 1 species